UUCCCUAGAGCACACCCAGGAGGGGCACCUACCUCUCGAACGUGUACUCGCUCUCAGCCCUGAAGUAGUACACGUGGGACUUGAAGUGCAACUUAAACACAUAGUCCUUGUGGAUGCUCUCAGACUCCGAGGGGAUGGUGAGCGAGUAGCCCAGUAGAGGCAGGCUGGCGAGGGGGUGAUUGUCCUGCAAACAGAGGUGGCUGUGAGGAAGUGGGCAAUAGUUGAUCAAGGGCUAAUCUUGAAAGCCAGUCUUGGCCGGCGUGCCAUGGUCCCACUAGUGAGUCUGUAAAGAACAUGGUCUCCCUCUAGGAGAAGACAUGCUCUGUCUCCUCCCUUAAGAGCCAGACACUUGGCUAGGAGGCCCCCCCUAAAGACAAUGUCUCCCCAUAAUGCAGUGCCUGGAGUCACCGUGAGGUCUGCCUUCCUGAGUCCUCACUCAGAGAAGCAGCAUCAGUCCUUUGGGGUGUUGGCUAGAGCCUAAUACACUUUUAAAUUCCCUACAGUGCUUUAGGCUCCCUUGCUCUUUGGGAAAACACCCCGGCCCUCCCAGCUGGUGGCUGGCCCGCCCUGGGCCCCCCGGUAUCGCCCUUUUCCUCGAGUUCCCACUUGGGUCCGUUCUUCGUCCCUGAACAUCUGUUUGUGUCUACUGUUAAAUUCAAGAACAGCAAGAGGGACCCCGAGUCUUGUGUUUAACACCCCCCCCCCCCCAGCAGCAGCUGUAAGGGAGAGCGUAGAGGCCAUCUGAAUAGAUGGGCAGUGUCACUGUCUUAGAGCUGAAGGUCUCGACGGAUGUGGCUGGCUGGAACCCCGCACUGCCCGACAUCCGCGUGUGUUUCAUGGAGCAGGUAGACCCCAGGUCAGGGCCAGCUGCCCUGUGGGCACUCACUUGGUGUGAUUUGUAGAAGAACAGGCAGAAGUUGGUGAACACGACCCACAGCUUCUGCCACCCGUUGCUGUUCUUGAACUUCCUCAGCAAGUUCCCAGACAGCUGGUUCUGAAAGACAAGUGGGGGCACUGGGAACACAGAUCCAUGCCAUCCACUGCAUCUCAGGAGCCUCUGACGUUGGCUCCUGAAAACCUAGCACCAAGAGCAGGUUUCUCACAGCAAGAUUGUUGUGUGCAGAGGCCAUCGGACUGCAUGAUGAAUUCCUGUCACAGAUCAUGUCUUCACAGGUGUCCUUAGCUGUCGUCACCCUUGAAUAUGACCUCGUUAGGGAGUGGGGGGUUGCAGGUAUUGUGGUUAGUUACAAUUAGUCAUGCUAAGAAGGGCCCUAACUAAGUGACUCAGGGGCACCAUGCAACAAUAGACUGUCAGGAAUGGCCAGGGAUGCUGGUCUUUUCCCUGGGAGACUAAGGAUUGAAGGAGUCCCUUCUGAGCAGCUCUAUGCUGCCACCUAGUGGGGAUGUCCAGAAGCCAUGCCAAGCCCCUGAUUCCUGUAGGUUCCUGUAACAAUUCUACUGGGCAAGGACACAGACUCCUGCACAGGCUCCCCUGACAGGACAACCUUUCCUCCCUCUGUCAAGCUGCCACGAGCAGAGGGCGGUGAAACAAGUUGGAAGGGUAAUGGUAGUGAAGGCUAAUUAGUACCGCCCACAGUUCACCAAAAAUAGGUGGAAUUAUUGCACAUCUUAAACAACCAGGCUGGAGAGAGCUCAGCCGCUCAGAGCACAUUCUGCAGAGGACCAGAGUUGGGUUCCCAGCACCCUCUUGGCUUCCACAGGUAUGACACAUUCACAGAACCCCAUACCCCGCCAUACUUCAAAACCUUGAAGAUAACUUCACGUCUGAUUUACUCCAUUUUCAUAAAUGCCACUGUCGGUAAGACCCCAGUGGCUAGGAACUGGUAUCGGAACAGCCGCUCAGCCUGACGGAACAGUGCGAGCUGAGGGGUUCUGCUCACACCACAAAGUGCUUCAGCUAUCCAUCCAGCUGCCACUGCUGUAGGAAGGGCACGGGGAGGUCCAGGGAGUAGCAAGCCCCUCACAAACCCUUCUGUCUGGCCUUCCUCUUAGAACUCGCCCUAAACAAUGUCACUGCUUUGUCCUUGUGGUGUCUCUGGUCACCACCCCAGUGAAGGUUCUAGCAAUGUCUGGCCUGUCAAAUGCCACCAUGCUGAGCCCAUGUUCAUACGGAUGGCUCGGCUCAGCCUCCAGUUGUUGGGGCUGGAUUCUGAAACAGUGGGCACCCUAACGUGGUGCUGUUGAGGGACUAACACUACUGUGUCCUACAACCUCUGCCUCUAGUACAGCUUCAAGUUCAGGUCUAAUGUCCCCACCUCCAGGGCAUGUGAUCUAUCACAAGUGACAAUCCUACAAGCAGAUACCCGGAUGCAGGCCAGAAGGAAGGGCAGCAAGCAGCCUCAUCUGGCAGGGAGUUGGGAAUGUCACCACAGGACACCAAGGCUAUACACACACACACACACACACACACGAAGAAAGAGAAUGUAUGGGAGAGCUAGGGCCUUGGGUCCCCUUGAAAACGUCUUUAGGUCACAGCUGCUGUAGGAAACUCAGUGAAGGCCACUUGCAGAAACACAAUCCCAAGACUAAGAGAGCUUAAAGCACAUCUCCAAACUGCUGUUGUCCUGGCUCACAUUCUAUGACCCAGGCAAGUCACCCCCGUGACUAAAUCCUCGUGCUGGCAGGUGGCCUUGGCAACACGAUGGGCCAACUUUGCCAGGCUAUAUGUGGUGGCUGCUUUGCCGUGGGAUUUGGAAAGGUCUAGAAGUAAUCCAGAGGGAAGGCUCACCUUCAAAGCAACUAUUCAGGCAUGAGUCACAGCUCAUGCGGAGGGCCUGGCCCUGCUAGAAUCACCUCACCCGCUUCAGAACUGGCUGUCCCCGGGCGUACCCCGUUUCCCAGGUCACAGCUGCUGAGGUGUCUGGGGUUCUUGGUUCGAUAUGGGCCAUGCUGCUGUACCUGAGCACACUUCCCCAUUCUGAGUCCAUGGAACAAAGGGAAACGUGGAGAACAAAGGAGGCCGGCAUCUACAGGGAAUGUGCCUACUCUGUCCCAGUGGUGGAGACGGCUAUCGCAGGCUCACACGGGAUGGGUUCUCCGCUCCCACGUACCUCCACCGCGAUGCUGAAGUCCACCAUGGAGACACUGGUGUUGCGGUGCCAGCACACAUGCACCAUCGUGUUGCCACGGUGAGGGGCCUGGCGCUCCAGUGAGGUCCGUGAGGCGCUCAGAUCGUCCUCGGACUCCUGGUCGGCCGCUGUGGCCUCAUCUGGGGACUCUGCAGGAAGUCGUGAAGGCGGUACAGAUACCAUCGUCCUCACACCCCAAGUGCCGGAGAAGGCGGGGUGGGGGUGGGGGCUCCCAGUAUGGCCCAAAUGCCCAGUGGGUCGGAUUCUACUGAAGCAUCCUCCCAGUAUCCUUUGCGGUGGCUGGGAAUCCUUCCUGCCCGUGGCCUGUACCCCGCUCCCCUCCAUAAAUACCGGCUGAUACAUGGCACCCCCACCCCCCGCUUGGAAGAGGUGGUGUACCCGCUCUCACAGCCACUAGGACACGGAUCCCAAAGGCACGGACAGGAGGCCUACCUCUCUGGGGUUCUGCCUAGCGUGCCCUGUCCCCUGGGAAGUGGAGCCCCACCUCUCCUUGUGGCCUUGGGCACAUCCCCACCCUUACUGUUGUCGGGAGGACUGCUAGCCAGGAGCUCGGGGGCGGGCCCAUUGCUUUUCUCUGCCAGGUCAAUGGCCGUCUGGAUGUCCUCCGUCCACUUUUCCAUCUCCGACCGGGAACUGCAGACAGACAUGGCGUCAGCGUUUCAGACCCCGGAAGGUCAGAGGCAAACAGUACGGGUCGGGUUCAGGAGUUACCUGGCGGCCACGAUGAUGGACUGCCGCUGGCCGCGGAGGGUCAGGCAGUGGGGCACACCCCACUCCUCUUCACUCUCCUCGAUCUGUGGAAGAGUCCGUCACGUCACUGCUGAGCAGCCAGCCAGGCACCUGUGGCAUCUCUAGACACCAAACUGGCUACCCAGCCCGGGCAAGGCGGAGCUCAGAGCCGGCCUCGGGCCCACAGGAGCCCCUUCCCACAGUCAGGGAAGGUCUCAGAAAGGCUAAGGGACAUUCUGCGUUAACUUCUGGAAGCUCACGCACUUCCUCUCCACCUUCUGAGAAGGUUGGCAUAGCCAGGCGCCUGUGGACAUUGCCCACCAGGAUGUGGGGCCCUGCCUCGGUGAGGGAAAGUUGGUUUUGUCUUCACUGAAGGGGCGACUAGGGUUGGCCAUGAGACACAGGCGAAUUCGUACCGUACGGCUCGAGUUGACUUGCCCUGGAGUCUAGAAAGACCAUCCUGUAGCCCAUGUGUGCAGAGGAGGUAGUGUUUCUAGGGUCCUCCUCGCUAGUGAACACGGAAGUACCUGCUCUUCAUGGGGAGGGCUUGCAGGGCUGGACACUUACCGUCAUCCCGUAGAGCGGGAGCUGUCCAUGGACUUUAAACUGAUUGGAUGCUGUUAGCCCCCGGCUGGUGUACAGCAGGACAUCGUUGAACUAGAGGGACAAGCAGAAGUGUGUGGGGAAAUGGGUCCCUCUUACCUCUCAGGGCCUCCCCAGCCGCGGGACCUUCCUCGCCCACUGGCCGCAUGGCUCUGGGACUGUUGAGGACGCAUGGCUUGCCCCACUCACCAGAAAGAACAUUCGCUGCUGGAGCCCCUUCCCGGAGAGCUUGCUGAGGCUGCCCAGGCGGAUGAACUCCUGUGGAGCACACAGAGUGUGGGAGGCUGAGCUGGUGCCUGCAUUCUGGCCUCCGAACCCUGACCCCAUGAUACGUAUGGCACUAAGUGGGCAAGAGAGCGAGUUCUGAUCGGGCAACACUGAGACAGCACUGGUUACGAGUGGUGGAUUUUAUGUGCGUUUUACUCCAAUCUUAAGCUGUUUCUCAGCUGGACACUAGUGCAUGGCUGUAAUUCCAGAUACUUCAGAGGCUGAGAAAGUCCCUCUCCCUGGGCGGAGACUCACCUGCUGACUUCAGUUCACCUGCCCUAUGCUUAUUCUGGUCAAUUGUUUUGACCUACCGAGGGCAGCCCCUAGCCUUCCAGAUGGUGUCCACACUAUGUCCAGUGGCAAUACACUAAUCGAGGAGACAGUGUGCGCCCCGUUGUUUCUAUGGGGUCUCAUCCAGUCUUACGGACCUCUCAGACCUGAUGCGAUCCUCAUCCCACAGAGUUCCACCCCUCGCUACAGGAGCUAAUCCGGAAGCCACGGCAGGAGACUGCGAUCCAGUGCUCUCUCCACAGUGAGAGACGUCUCUACACCGGGCGCAUAGUAUGUCCCUAAAGUCGGCAUGGCUCGGAGGGUGGUGCUUGCAGAGCCGCUCCAGGACCUGCUUGUAGUGCAUGAGCCGGUGCAGUGGGCGCAGGAGGAAGGUGUUGAGUGGCAGGUAACACACCUUCUGCAGCUCGAAGUCUCGGCAGAAAUGCUCCAGCCGCCGGGAGCCCUUGAUGGACGUCUCCAGCGCCUCCAAGGCUUCGCUGUGCUUCCACAGACAGGGAUGCAACUACAGGUCAAGCUCUCCUGUUAUGAAGAGGACCCCAACUUGUGCCAGGACUGUGCAGAGCUGAACGCACCCAGUGAGGGCACACUUGACGGAUUCCAUCUGGACACGCGUUCCUGCGUGCUGGCCAAACGAACCAGCUGAGCUUGCUUAAUCAUGCACAGAUGCAUUUAGUGCCUGGGCUGGGAGUGGGGCAGGAAAGACCCUGCAGGCAGCAUCGUGCUAACCCAGGAUGCUGCAUUUCUGGAAAUUGCUGCCUUCCACACUGUAUAAAGUCUUUAAUGCCAACAA